GAGCUGACUACCACUGGGAAAGGAUAUCUUCUGAAGAUCCCUCCUCUGGAGUUUUGUAGUGAGCCCAUGACACGACUACAGUGAAACUUUGACGAUGAGGAGGAAAGUGAUGAACACUGUCCUGUCAGCCAUGACUCCAGAGAAAGUCAUUAAAAAUAAACCAGAGUUCCAGCCAGGAAAACCACUUCAGCUUCAGCCUCCUUGACAGGUAGCAAACCGCUGCAUUGGAAAAGAUCUCAGAGACUCCCUGAGGAUGCAUUUGCACUGGUCUGAUGGAUAUUUCAGGCUUCCAUAAACAAAGCAAAUAUUUGACAGCUAUAUUAAAAUGCAGUCAUGACGAUAAGGUGAAUUCUGUGGCUGGAUGAUAUUUUUUUCCCCUGCUGUGUUCUUACUGCCUUGUACAGCAGCAUGAGGGUUUUCAUCAGCCAAAAGGAGACAGUCUGACUGAGUCAAGCAGAGGAAUACAAGCCAAACAGAGGAUGAAAGGAAGAAUGAAUUACUGAUGUCUCUUCCAAAAAUGAUAAAACCUCCAAGAAAUAGGUCACACCACCCACAUCUGUACGCAGAGGGGCCCCCUAUAUCCUUCUUGUGUUCUGCAUCUCUACAAAUCUGGUUUCCGGAACAAGACAAGGUAUUUUCAGAGAGGUCAAUGCCUCACCUAAAAGGCAGUGGAGAUUCCUGCUUAUGGACCUGUUUUUCUUCAACAAGUGUAAGGUGGGAUCUUUUGGCUCAGGUUCACACUAACUAUUUUCACAGAAGUGACAAAUCAUGCUUCACCUUCCAGCCAAUUUUUUCACUGUAACUUUUCCUGGAUAAGUACACUCUUCUUGAUGCAUCCCCACACAUACUUUUUUGUACCUCGUUGUAUGAUCUUACCUUCACUGAAAUGCAAUUUGGUUGUGCCUAACUCAAUUGUUCUCAAUGUAUCCUUUAAGAAUUUUCGUUAUUCCUUAAUCUCUUAUUUAUAUGUUGCAUUCAUAGUCUUAGCGAUGUCUACAACUUGUGAUGGUUUUCUUCUACACCAUGAAUUAAGAUAAAAACAGAUUAACAACUCACUAGAAAUAUGUGUAGUCAGUGGACAGCUCACUAUUUGCAACUACAUUUUUAAGAACAAUGUCACGUUUAAUAUAUUUAGUAUGUACCAUAUUGAUCUUGUAAUGUUCAAGUUUCGCAAUAAGAUGUUUCAUGAAAUCAAAUCAAAUUUCACAUAAAAACUAUUUCUCUCUACAUUUGUAUAACAUCCUAAAGUUCUCAUCAAUACAUAUCAAAUUACUCUGACAAGAUCUAGGUUUUAUUAACCCUUAUUGAUUUGCUUAAAUUAUGUCAUUCUUCUUGCAUAAUAUUACAAUUUCAAUAUCAUGUUAAUAUCUGCUUGUAGCUACCAUCCAUAUACAAGCACAAAAUGCAAUACAAUAAUUAUUUAUAUAUUAUUAUUGUAAGAGUUUGUGAUAGAAGUUUGGAGAACAAGAUAGUAGAUACACAGUUGUGAAGAGCGAGCCCUGGACUGACAAGACAGAAUAUUCACCUCGGGAACUUUAACUUCUCAGAGGUGAGAAAAGGUUGGGAAAAAAAGAAGAGAAAAAAGCUGUCUCUAAGGGAGAAAAGAAAGGAUUUAAAAUGUUAUUUUAAUGAAGAAGGAAAAACGGUAAGGAGAGGAAAAAAUCAGCUAUCAAAGAUGCUCAGAAAGACCAUAGAACAAAGCAGACUGGGGGUUGUUAGAGAUGACAGAAGAAUAUUCAAGGUACUUGUAAUGCUAAAUAGAGGACUCCAGGUUGAAGGAUGAGUGACAGAAAGCAGAACACAAGAGCAAGGCACUAACCUUGUGUAAGCACUGCUUCUGUGUAACUAAAUACUAAUCAUAGUUAAUCAUUGGUAUACACAGGAGAAACAGAAGCCAUGCACACAGAGAAUGCAAUCUCAUGAAAUCUACCCACGGAAGUGAUCCUGUCUAGUAUUUCAGCCUCCUUUCAGGAACCCUAGCCAUAGACAAACAGGGAGUGAUGCCAAAACUGGCUGGUGCCAUUGACAAAUACAAGAAAGUACUGGAAGUUAGCACAGUGGGCAUUUUCAGCUAAAUCUGGUUUCUCUUUUCCCAGAGAAGAGUACUUAAAAAAAUGGAAAAAAGUAGUCUUUGGAGAAGGACACUUUUAACAAGAUCUUUUCUGUUUGCUUCAUUCCCUUGUGAGGGUUCAGAGCACUGGAAUUUCUGUAGGACUCUGUUUGAAAAUAAGCAGUUAAUGAAAAGGUAUGGGCAUGGCUUACUACCCUAAACUAGUCCUCUUAGAAUAUCCUGGGAUUUGCCAAAGCACUAAAUGACGUUGGCAUAGAACACUUUAAGGGAAAAGUCACCUUUAUUCUUUGCUUUUCAGUAUUUAGAAAUGUAGCUUCAGUUUCCUUUGUGUUUUUUGUAUGAAAGAAAUUCAUUUUGAAUAGAGAUGGGUCCAUUUCUUUAGUUUUGAUCUCAAUGGAUACCGAAGCUGGACUGCUGCGCCUUCCAACUCUUGCAAUUUCUAGGGGAAGAGAGGGCAGCCAGGUUUAGAUGAAGGGGACUGAGCAGUAGCAAAAAAAAAAAAAAAAAAAAAAAGCUUAACACGGAGAAUCUCAGUUUCUGAGACUAGCAGUGUUAAUGUAAUGCUUUGCUAUUUCUAUAAGAACUAUACACAAUUAGAACUUUGCUGACAGUCUAGGCUACCUUAUUUAUUUCCAAGUCAACAAAAUUCCAUGCUCCAGUGAACCUUCUAAACAGCCAUUGUAACACGUGAGUCUAUUGUGUGCCUCUUGAAGACAAACCCAUUCAGAUGCCCAGGUUUAGGCAGAACGUUGCAGACACUUGAUGCCAGAGAACGUGUGCUACUCAGUGGAGAAUAUGAUCCUUGGAGAUCACAGGAGAACACCUAUCAUUCAAUGCCACAUCAGAGCCAGCCAAUCUAGUGCAUGCAGUGACAUGGAUUUUUACUUUCUACUGAAGAUCCUACGCACUAUGAGAUUCACAAUGAGUAUCUGGAAGUGUGCUGUCAAGUGCCAAUUAGUGAUGUUGCUGACCCAAAAGAUAAAGAAGAUCAUAGAAGAAGCAGCCCAGUAUAAUUCUACACUCCAGUGUCCUUAAAGGAGACUCUCGUUUGUGAAUGUACUCCUGCAGAUGAAAGGGAAAUAGGAGAGCUCUCUAAUCCAGCACCUACCAGGAAUGUUCAGCUCUGUCUAUAUGAACCUGAAGACCACCUAGAAACAGAAGCUUCAGAUGUGCACAAGUCUCCAUCUUCAUUCUCUUCUACAGAUUUAGCUGAACUGAAGUGUUCAGAGUGAAACUGCCAGCUGGAAGAAAAAAGUCAGCUUAGUUACACUCAAGAUUUGCAUCACUUCAAAGACACUGAGGAUCAAGGAGGCCCACACCCUGUGCCCAGCUGAGAGAGAUGAAGAAACUAACAGUGUGGGAUGCUUCUCAAGAGCACAUCUCCCUCUCCCUGCACCCGCCCAGCAUUCCCAUUGCACAUGGGCACCAGUCACAGCUUCGGGCACAAGAAAUUCUGCUUUACUUCUCUGCCCACAUCGCUCAUAGGCAUGUUCAGAUAAGCUGAAGAUCUACCCUAUAGCAAGGGAAACAUACAUUAUUCUCAAUGUUACUUAUGCCAUCAGUGUUUUCAGGUUAAUUUGUAAAAAAAUAUGACCUGAAAGCCUAAGAUUGAGUUUCAAAUGAGACAGUUAAUUCAAGGCUUGGUUUAAUAAACCUAAUUUAUUAUGUGAGAUAACAGAGUUCUGCAAUUGACUGCACAGCUUCAUGGCUGAAGUUAGUAAUUCCUAUGAAUAAUGCUGCUAAAAGUAUUAUGUAGUCAGUCUGCAGCAGUCAGAUGUGGUGCCUCGACAGCAGCUAUCUGCUGUUAUUGCUAAAAUGUGGAAAAAACAAGAGGAUGAAUCAUCUCAGCUGUAAAUAACUGAGUUGCAGGGGCACAGCUGGAGCAUUACGGCUCCCUACUCUUGCACAGCCCUUCCUAUAGCUGCUGCAGCGUGCCACUAUUGAGGGCCAAAGAUGAAGAAGUUCUGUAACUUGCUGCUGCCAUGUUUGCAAAAAAGCAUACUCUUUUCUCUAGCAUUUCUGAGUCUGGUGUCUUGGUCUUAGUGUCUAUGUUUAAAGCAUAACUGUAGCACUUCUGGAUACCACCCUCAGUAGAUGAAAAUGUACAAUGUUGUAAUAAAGGUAUAAAGCACUGCAAUAUGCUGGCAAUGCCAGAACCAAGGCCAGGUAAAUGAGUUUACCCAGAGGGUACUUCUAGGAGUGCAGGAAAAUGCUUAAUUCCGAUAGAAUAAUUAGAAGACUGAAAGGAGGAAAAAGAAAAAAGAAAAAAAGAGUUAUUUGAGUGAAUAGAAGUGAGGUUUUCUCAUGUACAAGGGCUUAAAUGACACUGUAAUUUUUCUCCUGAGAAGCUGCAAAGCUGGCCAAGCACAAUUCUGAAUGAUUUGCCUACAACGCAUAAGGUAUAAGAUACCGCUUUUAAGUCAGAUGCACCAGUAAUCCUUUCUCCUAUAGUAGUUUCCCCAUCUCCUGUUUUACAUCUCACACUACUGUGAUUAUACAGAUUAUAAUCCAUUUAGAAGUGUAUUUAAAAAGCAGCAUCAAAAACAUUUUGAAAUACAAUCUGGUAUUGCAGUCAACAGUCAGAAGGUGGGACAAGUGCAACAAUUUUGUGGAAAAUGCAUGUGAGCUUUGCUCUCAUUUCUACUUCAGCUACUCAUUUCUACAACAUUGCUACUCACAGGUAUAAAAAUCUGGGAGGGUGAAAGUAGUUAGAAUCUGAAAUUAAACAAAAAUUCCCUAAGAGAGUGUAUGAUAUCUGCAUCUUCAGUUGCAUCUUCAUUACAAUCGUAAGCAAGAACACGCCUGUCAGACUCACAGCGAGGGCUGUCUGUAGCGUGCAUUACCUGGAGGAAAGCAUCCAUGCAGCGCAGGGCGUUUGAUGAGAAACUCAGCAGCACGCAGGACCUGCUGCUCAGAGCCUGCUGGUACGCUCGCCCCACAGCACCACCGCAGCAGAUGGGGACAGCAGACAGGGCAGCGAUGCUGUGGGGAAGGUGGCUUCUUCGUAACACUUCCACUUCAAGCAACUUCGUGUCAGCAGUCAAAGUUACUGGUUCAUGGAGUAGUGGCCUCCUGAAAAUUGCUGCAGGACUGACAUAGCUGUUAGUUUAUCUGGCUAGCUUUAAUAAAUGGAUGUGAUACUAUAAGGCUUGCUAAGGGAUGCUGGCUCUCUAUGCACAGCAGAAUGGUUGGGUUAGUGGAUUUUCAUACUGAUUUUCCAUUGCUUCAGUGAGAUAAAAAUGAACCUGGAAAAAUGUAGGAGACAUAACCACCUUUUUUUUUUUUUUCCUGCGUUUGUUAAUAUCAUGAUGUGCUAAUGCACUUCAUAACAAACGCUAAUAUUCAAACUACAGAAAAAAUUAUAGUAUUUCUAUUUAAUUAAUAGUUGGAUAUGAAAAAAUGAAUGGGCAUUCCCCAGCCUGAGCUGCACAGAAGAAAAAGACUUUUCAGUACAUUCUUUGACAGUAAACCUUCGUCUUAUCCUUCCAGGUGGGAAAGUAUUUUUGUUUUUUUUUUUUCAUGUUUUUAAUCAUCCUGCAGACCUCUCAGCUGACAGCCACUCCUUUAUUCAUGAGCCUAUGUAUUAAGGAUGAUACAACCUCUUAAUAACCUUAAUCAGGUUAUUUUUUAUUGUGUUUUAAUUCAUUAUAAUCCCAGUAAGUCUGUGGAAACCUGUGGAAUUAAAAUUUGUUUCUUUAAUGGCUUAUCUUUAAAACAGUAGGUACAAUCGGCAUUAAAUUAUUAUUUGUCAAGAAAGAAACACAUACAUUGGUAAGAAAAAACUUUACAAUGAUAGAUCUCAAGGUUUUAUUUAAAGGAAACAAAACAAAAUCUAUAAGGGGUUGCCCUUUCUCCUUAGUUUGAACUCACAAGGUAAUGCUAAUUUGUCACUAACUCUUCAAGUUUCUACUUUAUAGCUACUCCAAGAACAUCUUUUGGCAACAUCUAAGAUGUCCUUCUGCGUACAAUUAGUCAGUAUGUUGCUUGGCAAGUGAGUUGUGAUACAGAUCCCAGUAUGUACAUCACGGUAUUGGUGUUGGGUAUUCGACUGCUGGUCAGUGAGACUGCAGUGUAAGCACAGUGGUCAGUUCUCCCCUAUAGUUUAAGUCUAAUGUAAGAGUCCAAAAAAAACAAAAACAAACAAAAAAACCCAACAACAACAACAAAAAACAACAACAAAGCAAAACCAAAUUGUGAAAGAAGAAUCUCAAAAAAAAAAAGAAAAAAUCCCCCAAAUUAAGAUUUUUUCUUUUUUUAAAUUUUAAAUAUCU